UACGUAGGGUGCAAGCGUUGUCCGGAAUUAUUGGGCGUAAAGAGCUCGUAGGCGGUUUGUCGCGUCUGCUGUGAAAACUCAGGGCUUAACUCUGAGCUUGCAGUGGGUACGGGCGGACUAGAGUGCGGUAGGGGAGACUGGAAUUCCUGGUGUAGCGGUGAAAUGCGCAGAUAUCAGGAGGAACACCGGUGGCGAAGGCGGGUCUCUGGGCCGUAACUGACGCUGAGGAGCGAAAGCGUGGGGAGCAAACAGG
rnacentral:rRNA from 1 species